rnacentral:rRNA from 1 species
UACGUAGGACGCAAGCGUUGUCCGGAAUUAUUGGGCGUAAAGAGCUCGUAGGCGGUCUGUCGCGUCGGAUGUGAAAGCCCGGGGCUUAACCCCGGGUCUGCAUUCGAUACGGGCAGACUAGAGUGUGGUAGGGGAGAUCGGAAUUCCUGGUGUAGCGGUGAAAUGCGCAGAUAUCAGGAGGAACACCGGUGGCGAAGGCGGAUCUCUGGGCCAUUACUGACGCUGAGGAGCGAAAGCGUGGGGAGCGAACAGG